rnacentral:rRNA from 1 species
AGUGAACGCUGGCGGUAGGCCUAACACAUGCAAGUCGAACGGCAGCACAGUAAGAGCUUGCUCUUACGGGUGGCGAGUGGCGGACGGGUGAGGAAUACAUCGGAAUCUACUUUUUCGUGGGGGAUAACGUAGGGAAACUUACGCUAAUACCGCAUACGACCUACGGGUGAAAGCAGGGGAUCUUCGGACCUUGCGCGAUUGAAUGAGCCGAUGUCGGAUUAGCUAGUUGGCGGGGUAAAGGCCCACCAAGGCGUCGAUCCGUAGCUGGUCUGAGAGGAUGAUCAGCCACACUGGAACUGAGACACGGUCCAGACUCCUACGGGAGGCAGCAGUGGGGAAUAUUGGACAAUGGGCGCAAGCCUGAUCCAGCCACACCGCGUGGGUGAAGAAGGCCUUCGGGUUGUAAAGCCCUUUUGUUGGGAAAGAAAAGCAGCAGGUUAAUACCCCGCUGUUCUGACGGUACCCAAAGAAUAAGCACCGGCUAACUUCGUG